AUCAAAAGUUCAAACUGCAUGGUCGCCGGUUUUGUCUGUUUGUACAUGUAAGCACAGGGACUCGUCACAAAAUAUUUGUCUUAUUAAAAUUUGACAUCGUCUAUUCUAUAUUUACAUUAUAUUAUGUAAAUAUAGAAUAGAGAGGGUCAAUUCGUGACGAGCCCCUGUGAUGUAAGUUGUAACGUGUACAGACACAGGUGACAGGGGCUCGUCACGAACAUUUUGUCACCGUCUAUUCUAUAAUAUAGGGUCAAAUCGGGACAAGCCCCUGUGGUGUAAGCCUAUAAUAUGUUUCAGUGUAACUGUAAUGGCCAGUCUCUGUGAGACAGUGUAACUGUUUGAACAUGUUGUCGCUAUGCUGUAAACAAAAAUUAUUGUAUUUUACAUAAUUAGUUAAAGGGUGAUUAGAUAUAGAUCUAGGGCCUAACAAAAUCGUGGAAAGUAAUCACAGAGGUGGAUAUAGAUGGCGAACAAAAUAGGGGUGGGUGGUCCACCUGUCCCUCCUCCCACAUAACAUUACCCCUUCCUCGGACCUCAUUUCUAACCCCUCCUCAUUUCCUCUUAUCCCUCAGAUACACCCCCCCCCCUUAAUUGAAUAUAGAUCUGUACAAGGUUUGCAUAGUUAUGGGAAUACCGAUCUACCAUUACCAGGGUGUGAUAUAUACUUUGUAAUGUAGUAUAUUUACUACUAUACCAUAACAUGCCAGCUUGUAAUCACAAAUAAUUUGAAUUUUGAAAUUGAUUCGCUUUGGUUAUAUAUACAGACUGUGGACAAAAGUAUCGGAACGGAUUACGUGACGUUACACAAGAAUGAAACUGUUCGUGUUAUUUACGGCAGGCAUUUUCAGUGUAGAUACGAUUUGACACUACACCUUAGGUAUUUUCAUAAUGAUGAUGACUUCCUGUUUACACUAACUACGUUAUUUUUGUCGUCUGCAAUCAUAAAGUAAGUAAAGACCUCUCCAAACAACAUGGCCUCGAAACAUAAAUAUGCAUCGGAUGGUGUCAAACAGUCAGUUGCUACAUUAGUUCAGAAUGGAAAUUCUUUUCAGAAAGUUGCAGAUAUGUUAGAUAUGGCUAAAACAUCUGUGCAUCGAAUUUACAGAAAUUUCUGUGAACGAGGAACUGUAAAAACAGCCCCUAAAACAGGUCGCAAGAAAAGUCUCAGCGAUCGUGACGGAAGGAAAAUUUUACGACAAGUGAAGGCUAACAGGAAAACUCCAUUGGCCGAUGUGACGAAUAAUUUUAACAAUAAUGAAAACAGAAAUGUAUCCAAAAAGACAGUGUGGCGUUUUCUUAAGAAUCAGAGGUAUAGUCGAUGUGUCUGCAAGAAAAAAAUCAGGAUUUCCCCUGUAAACAGACAGAGAAGAGUGGCAUGGUGUCGAGCCAAAUCAACAUGGACAAACGAUGACUGGAAAAAAAUUAUUUUUUCAGACGAGAGUCAAAUUGUUAUUGGUAGUGAUAACAAAGUGUAUAUCUGGAGAAAAAGUGACGAGGCCUUUAGACCAGAAUGUAUUUCACCUGUAAAAACCAAGAAACUUGCCGUGAUGGUUUGGGGUUGCAUAACCUAUCAUGGCGUCGGCACAUUAACACGUGUGGAGGGGAACAUCAAUUCAGAUAAAUAUAUUCAAAUCAUAGACAACAAUCUAUGGCCAGUAAUAGCAAGACACUUUCCUGACAAUAAUUAUAUAUUUCAAGAUGAUAAUGCACCAGUUCAUCGUUCUAGGGCUACUAAAACAUUCAUGGAAUAUAACCAUAUCAACACGAUGGAGUGGCCGGCACAGAGCCCAGAUAUAAACAUUAUAGAAAAUUUAUGGUUAAAGAUUAAAAAAAAGAUAGAGCAAUCAAUGGAUGAGAUUACCUCUGUGGAACAAUUAUAUGAUAAAAUUUAUUCAAUUUGGACCCGUUUCGAUUGUGAAACUAUUAAACAUUUGUACCAAUCCCUCCCCAAGAGAAUCACUGCAGUACGGAGAGCCAAAGGCUAUAUCACGAAAUAUUAAAAUGGCCUGAGCAAUGUGAAGACCGCUAAAGUCAUUGGCUGUUCUGUAGCGCCAUGCACUCUGAAGAGGGGAAGUAACGCGACGUUUCAAGUGGAUUUUACUGCAGUUGAGGCUGCCACGGCUCUAAAGGCUGUAGUUCA